GUGAGUAGUUCAGAGUUUGAUCCUGGCUCAGGACGAACGCUGGCGGCGUGCCUAACACAUGCAAGUCGAACGGAGAUAAACGCUGAUUUGAAGGUAGCUUGCUACUGGAUUUUCUUGUUUAUCUUAGUGGCGGACGGGUGAGUAACGCGUGAGUAACCUGCCCUUGAGAGGGGAAUAACGUUCUGAAAAGAACGCUAAUACCGCAUAACAUAUAUUUGUCGCAUGGCAGAUAUAUCAAAGAUUUUAUCGCUCAAGGAUGGACUCGCGUCCGAUUAGUUAGUUGGUGAGGUAACGGCUCACCAAGACCGCGAUCGGUAGCCGGACUGAGAGGUUGAACGGCCACAUUGGGACUGAGACACGGCCCAG
rnacentral:rRNA from 1 species